rnacentral:rRNA from 1 species
GAAGGGAUAACCGCUGAAAGCAUCUAAGCGGGAAGCCUCCCUCGAGAUUAGGUAUCAUCGAGUCGUGAUAGACCAUCACGUUGAUAGGCCAGGUGUGGAAGCGCGGUAACGCGUGAAGCUAACUGGUCCUAAUAACUCUGUUCAUGCUUGU